AGAGUUUGAUCCUGGCUCAGGACGAACGCUGGCGGCGUGCUUAACACAUGCAAGUCGAGCGGAAAGGCCCUUCGGGGUACUCGAGCGGCGAACGGGUGAGUAACACGUGAGCAACCUGCCUUGGCUCUGGGAUAGCUCCGGGAAACCGGGAUUAAUACCGGACAUGACCUGCUCCUGCAUGGGGAGCGGGUGGAAAGUUU
rnacentral:rRNA from 1 species